AAUUCGCCGGCGCAUAUAAAUCUUGAAGUUGAUGAAAUUUAUCACCGGUUCGGAAAGUGGAUUCUACCGAGAAGAACCGGCAAGAAACUCCGUAAUUGUAGUACAAUUACAGAAUACUUGUUUUAGAAACUCACGAGAUAGGAGUGCGAGACGGCAACUAGGAACGCUUCGAUCUUACUCUUUGGCGACAUGUAGAAGGACAAAUCAAUGAGAAAGUUACGAAAUGGUAAAUUCAGCAAAUCAUCGUCGUCAGCUGCGUCUCAACUAGAGCAGCUAAAUAAGAGAUAGCAGCAGCAUCGAUGCUACCGUCCGCCGACGCGAUAGUGCAUCACAACAUCAAAGUAACCCAAAAGAAUGGGGUGUACUUCUAGCUAUGUGCUGACUGAAACCGAAGAUUACUACUGUUAAUUUGUUCACACGCUCGUAAGCCUCAUCGGUGGAGUCCUUCAAUGUACGUAGUCCAGACAAAGUAGUAAAAAAAAUGGCACGCUUAGAAUAAUCGGUAUAGAUAGUUCAAUAUACCUAUAAAAUGUAUAAAGUGUUCAUCGAUUCCGUCUUCUAUACAAAUUUCAAGGUCAAAGGCAAUUGUUUUUUAAAUUUCCCUCAUAAAUGUGA